rnacentral:rRNA from 1 species
AUUGAACGCUGGCGGCGGGCCUAACACAUGCAAGUCGAGCGAGCGGCGGACGGGUGAGUAAUGUCUGGGAAACUGCCUUAUGGAGGUGGAUAACUAUCGGAAACGGUAGCUAAUACCGCAUACCAUCAGAUGUGCCCAGAGGGGAUUAGCUAGUGGUUGGGGUAACGGCUCACCAAGGCCACGAUCCCUAGCUGGUCUGAGAGGAUGACCAGCCACACUGGAACUGAGACACGGUCCAGACUCCUACGGGAGGCAGCAGUGGGGAAUAUUGCACAAUGGGCGCAAGCCUGAUGGAGCCAUGCCGCGUGUGUGAAGAAGGCCUUCGGGUUGUAAAGCACUUUCAGCUGGGAGGCGUUACCCGCACAAGAAGCACCGGCUAACUCCGUGCCAGCAGCCGCGGUAAUAC